rnacentral:lncRNA from 1 species
AAUUAAUAUGUUAGUAAGGCAAGGUGAUUGUUCGUUGACAACAUUGGGGCGUAGCGGAUUGACUAUUGGGAUCUCUUUAGCUUUAGUAUGACUAUUACUAUAGGCGCUGGAGUCAGCUUGUCAUAGUAUGUAAACUAUGUGGUGGAUACGAUAACAAAUAAGCCUUCUACAUCAGCCAAUUCUUCUUCCAUGAGGGACUUCAAUGAAGCAAGAUUUUUUUAUUUCCCGUUCAUCGUAUCGACCGACCCAGACCCCGUACCUGUCCCCGAUGAAAGUCAGGAUGAAACCUGCUUUCAUUCAAAACCAACUUGUUCAUCGUAUCGACCGACCCAGACCUCGUACCUGUCCUCGAUGAGAGUCAGGAUGAAACCUGCUUUCAUUCAAAACCAACUCACUCUAAGGAAAGGAGAGCUUUGCGAAAGUUUAAAAAGGAAUUGAGUGAGCUCUCGCCUAAGAGAAGAGUUUAAUAAAGCGGAGAGGGAUUUUCCGACAACAAAAAAGCUUUUCUCCCCAACC